rnacentral:lncRNA from 1 species
ACCACCAUACUUCUCUCUACAACACACAUAUAACCUCAUCCCUGCAUUUUCAUCAGACCAGCAAACAAUCGUUUCAGCCUCAAAUCCAGAACGGCAGAUACGCACCAUAUCAUCCUCCGUAAUAAAAUUGUUUGAACUUGAUUCGGUAGAAGCUGCACGUCUGUUCCUAUGCAUCCUAUCUUUAACUGCAAUUUCUUCUCUUCUUCGUGAAAUGGAUGAACAUCAGUGAUGUCAGAAGGUUGGAAUGCUUGCACACAGUGUUGGGUUAUGUCAUCAAGGGUGGGUUCUAUGAAGAAGGGGUGGUUUCUGUUGAAUCUCCAUGUCUGAAAUGAAGGCUACAGGGGCUUCUUUCGUUCGAAUAAAAAGGGCUGAGGGCUGAGGGUAUAGAAUGGUGAUAUUACCCUUAUCAGACGGCUCACGUGCAUCAGAC